CCUACGGGUGGCAGCAGUAGGGAAUAUUGCUCAAUGGGGGAAACCCUGAAGCAGCAACGCCGCGUGAAGGAUGAAGGUUUUCGGGUUGGAAACUCCUUUUGUUAGAGAAGAUAAUUACGGUAUCUAACGAAUAAGCACCGUCUAACUCCGUGCCAGCAGCCGCGGUAAUACGGAGGGUGCAAGCGUUACUCGGAAUCACUGGGCGUAAAGAGCGCGUAGGCGGGAUAGCAAGUCAGAUGUGAAAUCCUAUGGCUUAACCAUAGAACUGCAUUUGAAACUGUUAUUCUAGAGUAUGGGAGAGGUAGGUGGAAUUCUUGGUGUAGGGGUAAAAUGCGUAGAGAUCAAGAGGAAUACUCAUUGCGAAGGCGACCUGCUAGAACAUAACUGACGCUGAUGCGCGAAAGCGUGGGGAGCAAACAGGAUUAGAUACCCUUGUAGUC
rnacentral:rRNA from 1 species